rnacentral:tRNA from 1 species
GAGCUUGUCCGGGAUACUGAGAACUGCUAAUUCUCAUAACUAUGGUUCAACUCCUUAGCUUGCUCG